CAGCAGCCGCGGUAAUACGAAGGGUGCAAGCGUUAAUCGGAAUUACUGGGCGUAAAGCGUGCGUAGGCGGUUUGUUAAGUCUGCUGUGAAAUCCCCGAGCUUAACUUGGGAACUGCAUUUGAAACUGGCAGGCUAGAGUCUCGUAGAGGGGGGUAGAAUUCCAGGUGUAGCGGUGAAAUGCGUAGAGAUCUGGAGGAAUACCGGUGGCGAAGGCGGCCCCCUGGACGAAGACUGACGCUCAGGUACGAAAGCGUGGGGAGCAAACAGGAUUAGAUACCCGCGUAGUCCCUGUCUCUUAUAC
rnacentral:rRNA from 1 species